rnacentral:rRNA from 1 species
AUUAGCUUCGUACGUGACCUGCGGAAGGUCAUUACCGAACCCGUGCCCUGGAACUCUUCCAGGAAAAGGGGGGGCGCGCCGGCGAAUCUCGCGGGCCGCGCCCGACACACCACUCCCUGCGUACACAUCCCUGUUGCUUCCCCGGGGGGAGGGCACGCGCCGCCCCCCGGGGGAGGGCCCCCCAAGAGCACACGAUGCCGACCAACCUGCCACCGGACCCCCGCCUGUCUGAAGGCCAGCGUGCCGAGGAAGGAGGAGAAGAACAAGAAACAAAACUUUCAACAACGGAUCUCUUGGUUCCCGCAUCGAUGAAGAACGCAGCGAAAUGCGAUAAGUAAUGUGAAUUGCAGAAUUCAGUGAAUCAUCGAAUCUUUGAACGCACAUUGCGCCCCCUGGCAUUCCGGGGGGCAUGCCUGUUCGAGCGUCUCCGAGAAAGAGGCUCGCGCGUGUGAACGCGUGGUGGUGGCGGCGGCGGCGGUCCCGACAGGGCGGCCACCCCGCCGGAAUCCAUGGGCGGACGCCUGCCGCGUUGUCGAGCGUGAUAUGACGCAUCGGCGCUCCAGCGGGGCGAGGCUGCCAGCCCUGGCCCGUGGGCCGGGCGGGGAGAGCAUGACAUUGGAACUCCUCGAAUCAGGUAGGGAUACCCGCUGAACUUAAGCAUAUCAAA